UGAAGUUAGGCUAGCAAACCUGCUGAAUUUAAGCAUAUAAGUAAGCGGAGGACAAGAAACUAAACAGGAUCCUUAUAGUAAUGGCGAAUGAACAGGGAUGAGCUCAGCAUGGAAAUUGGAGCUUGUGGCUCUGACUUGUAAUCUUGUGAGGCAUUGCCAACAGAGGCGCAGAUGUAAGUCUCUUGGAAAAGAGCAUCAAUGAGGGUGAGAAUCCUGCUUGCCAUUUGCAGCUCCCCUGUGCACGGUGUGCCUUCUAAGAGUCACGUUCCUUGGGAUUGGAGCGCAAAGUGGGUGGUAACUUUCAUCUCAAGCUAAACAAUGGUUUGAGACCGAUAGGAAACAAGUACCAUGAGGGAAAGGUGAAAAGGACUUUGGGAAGAGAGUUAAAAGUGCCUGAAAUUGCUGAAAGGGAAGCGAAUGGAACCAGUGGCACUGGGUGAGAUUGUCACACGCUGCAAGGAUUGGGUGCAGUGGCAGCGCAAGCGGUGCUGUACUUUUUGAGCUGCAAUUGUGUGGUGUGUCUUGCCUUGCGUGUCACUAUGAGUUCAUGCGUUAAGACAAUUCAAAAUGCACGCCAAUGUGUUUCCGAACAUAUGAAUGUGUUUUGUGAUGUUUAUGCAUAAACUUAUACUUAUUUGUCUGGCUGCAGGGGCUGCUGCUCUAUCCUUUGGGUGGGCUGUGAUAUGCAUCUCCUUCUACACAGAUAUUGACCAAAUGGUUUCAUUCGACCCGUCUUGAAAC
rnacentral:rRNA from 1 species